rnacentral:rRNA from 1 species
GCUUGCUGGGUGGAUUAGUGGCGAACGGGUGAGUAACACGUGAGUAACCUGCCCUUAACUCUGGGAUAAGCCUGGGAAACUGGGUCUAAUACCGGAUAGGAGCGUCCACCGCAUGGUGGGUGUUGGAAAGAUUUAUCGGUUUUGGAUGGACUCGCGGCCUAUCAGCUUGUUGGUGAGGUAAUGGCUCACCAAGGCGACGACGGGUAGCCGGCCUGAGAGGGUGACCGGCCACACUGGGACUGAGACACGGCCCAGACUCCUACGGGAGGCAGCAGUGGGGAAUAUUGCACAAUGGGCGCAAGCCUGAUGCAGCGACGCCGCGUGAGGGAUGACGGCCUUCGGGUUGUAAACCUCUUUCAGUAGGGAAGAAGCGAAAGUGACGGUACCUGCAGAAGAAGCACCGGCUAACUACGUGCCAGCAGCCGCGGUAAUACGUAGGGUGCGAGCGUUAUCCGGAAUUAUUGGGCGUAAAGAGCUCGUAGGCGGUUUGUCGCGUCUGUCGUGAAAGUCCGGGGCUUAACCCCGGAUCUGCGGUGGGUACGGGCAGACUAGAGUGCAGUAGGGGAGACUGGAAUUCCUGGUGUAGCGGUGGAAUGCGCAGAUAUCAGGAGGAACACCGAUGGCGAAGGCAGGUCUCUGGUGCUGUAACUGACGCUGAGGAGCGAAAGCAUGGGGGGAGCGAACAGGAAUUUAGAUACCCU